UUCUUAUCAAGAGAGGCAGAGGGACUGGCCCGAUGAAGCCUCAGCAACCGGUGAAUGAAUAUUCAUGACCAAGGUGCUAAAUCCAGCAAGCAGCCUGCUUGGAAGAUAAGAA
rnacentral:ncRNA from 23 species